rnacentral:rRNA from 1 species
GACGAACCGUGCGAACGUUGUUCGGAAUCACUGGGCUUAAAGGGCGCGUAGGCGGGCUGCCAAGUCCGUAGGUGAAAUCCCCCGGCUCAACCGGGGAACGGCCUCGGAUACUGGCGGCCUGGAGGGGGGUAGGGGCGUGCGGAACUGUGGGUGGAGCGGUGAAAUGCGUUGAGAUCCACAGGAACUCCGGUGGCGAAGGCGGCACGCUGGACCCUUUCUGACGCUGAGGCGCGAAAGCCAGGGGAGCGAACGGG